UAAUACGUAGGUGGCGAGCGUUAUUCGGAUUUAUUGGGCGUAAAGCGUCCGUAGGGGGAUUUUUAAGUCAGAUGUGAAAUUUCGGGGCUCAACCCCGAACCUGCAUUUGAAACUGAAAGUCUAGAGUUCGGUAGAGGUAAGUGGAAUUUGUGGUGUAGCGGUGGAAUGCGUAGAUAUCACAAGGAACUCCAAAGGCGAAAGCAGCUUACUGGGCCGAUACUGACCCUGAGGGACGAAAGCUAAGGUAGCGAAAAGGAUUAGAUACCCUUGUAGUCUUAGCCGUAAACGUUGUACACUCGAUGUCGGGGGAAUUAGCCCCUUCGGUGUCUAAGCUAACGCGAUAAGUGUACCGCCUGGGAAGUACGGUCGCAAGACUA
rnacentral:rRNA from 1 species